rnacentral:rRNA from 1 species
CCUACGGGUGGCAGCAGUGGGGAAUAUUGGACAAUGGGCGAAAGCCUGAUCCAGCCAUGCCGCGUGUGUGAAGAAGGCCUUCGGGUUGUAAAGCACUUUCAGUGGGGAAGAAAGCCUUGGGGCUAAUACCCUCGAGGAAGGACAUCACCCACAGAAGAAGCACCGGCUAACUCCGUGCCAGCAGCCGCGGUAAUACGGAGGGUGCGAGCGUUAAUCGGAAUUACUGGGCGUAAAGCGCGCGUAGGCGGUCUGAUAAGCCGGUUGUGAAAGCCCCGGGCUCAACCUGGGAACGGCAUCCGGAACUGUCAGGCUAGAGUGCAGGAGAGGAAGGUAGAAUUCCCGGUGUAGCAGUGAAAUGCGUAGAGAUCGGGAGGAAUACCAGUGGCGAAGGCGGCCUUCUGGACUGACACUGACGCUGAGGUGCGAAAGCGUGGGUAGCAGACAGGAUUAGAUACCCUUGUAGUC